rnacentral:rRNA from 1 species
GACUAACGCUGGCGGCGUGCCUAACACAUGCAAGUCGAACGGACUGUAGCAAUACAGUUAGUGGCAGACGGGUGAGUAACACGUAGAUAACGUACCCCUCCGCUGGGGAUAGCCACUGGAAACGGUGGGUAAAACCGAAUAGUCUCUUUAGAAGGCAUCUUCUAGUGAGUAAAACUACGGUGUGGAGGGAGCGGUUUGCGUCCUAUUAGCUAGUUGGUGAGGUAACGGCUCACCAAGGCUACGAUGGGUAGCCGGUCUGAGAGGAUGAUCGGCCACACUGGCACUGAGAUACGGGCCAGACUCUUACGGGAGGCAGCAGUGAGGGAUUUUGCGCAAUGGAGGAAACUCUGACGCAGCGACGCCGCGUGCGGGACGAAGCCUUUCGGGGUGUAAACCGCUGUCAGGUGGGGAAGAGAAUGGACGGUACCCACUGAGGAAGCCUCGGCUAACUACGUGCCAGCAGCA